rnacentral:lncRNA from 1 species
CUUGCUUACGCUUCUGCAUGGAGAAUUCAGGUGGGUUGCAUUCAACUGAUAGGAGCUUGCAAUUUUUUAAUCCGGAUGUCUUUCUUACAGAAGAGGAUACCAAGAGGGAUGUUGGAAGACUGAGCCGUGAUGACCUUUUCUCAGAACCUGAACCAAACUGCUUUCAGUGAAAUAGCAUCUUCCUCUUUCAUGCCCAGGAUGAAGCCAAAGCCCGCCACAAAAGGCCUCUAAUGCUUAUAAGUGAGUUUUGCCUGGACAGAAGCAAGCCACCAGAGCUUAUUUCUCAGAGAAGUCCUACGGUGGAGGUGACUGCAUGCCGGGAAGAUUCACACCCCGCUGAAGGACUCUGCCACCAGAGAACGGCACUGCAAUCCUUCUGCCAUCUCCUGCUCUUGUGCGUGUGCUUUCUGGUACAUAACAAUUCUCCCCCAGCACCACGCCUAACAUCUCAGCUGCACGCGAAGCCAACAGGAGACCCUUACAAAGCUGGAUGUUGGUUAAGGUGCCGAGGGGGCAGCCCUGCCCCAGCCUCUCUGACCAGCCCAGCCCGACGUGCCCGCACAGCAGUCCUGUGUUCCCUCUGCCCUCAUUCGUCAUCCACUGUGGUCAGCGCCG